GCACUUUUGUCCGGAAAGAAAAGCUUCGGGUUAAUACCCCGGGGUCCUGACGGUACCGGAAGAAUAAGCACCGGCUAACUUCGUGCCAGCAGCCGCGGUAAUACGAAGGGUGCAAGCGUUACUCGGAAUUACUGGGCGUAAAGCGUGCGUAGGUGGUUUGUUAAGUCUGAUGUGAAAGCCCUGGGCUCAACCUGGGAAUUGCAUUGGAUACUGGCAAGCUAGAGUGCGGUAGAGGAUGGCGGAAUUCCCGGUGUAGCAGUGAAAUGCGUAGAGAUCGGGAGGAACAUCUGUGGCGAA
rnacentral:rRNA from 1 species